GUCUCUGAUGAUGAUCAAAACAAACUUUCGUUCUUCCGAGGUUUUAUUAAUCUAUGCGGAAAAUAAUGGAGACCUGAACUGAAGAGAC